AGCAGUGCCGCGGUAAUACGUAGGGCGCGAGCGUUGUCCGGAAUUAUUGGGCGUAAAGAGCUUGUAGGCGGUUGGUCGCGUCUGCUGUGAAAGGCUGGGGCCUAACCCUGGUUUUGCAGUGGGUACGGGCUAACCAGAGUGCGGUAGGGGAGACUGGAAUUCCUGGUGUAGCGGUGGAAUGCGCAGAUAUCAGGAGGAACACCGAUGGCGAAGGCAGGUCUCUGGGCUGUAACUGACGCUGAGAAGCGAAAGCAUGGGGAGCGAACAGGAUUAGAUACCCCCGUAGUCCCUGUCUCUUAUACC
rnacentral:rRNA from 1 species